rnacentral:rRNA from 1 species
AGUGAACGCUGGCGGUAGGCCUAACACAUGCAAGUCGAACGGCAGCACAGUAAGAGCUUGCUCUUACGGGUGGCGAGUGGCGGACGGGUGAGGAAUACAUCGGAAUCUACUUUUUCGUGGGGGUUAACGUAGGGAAACUUACGCUAAUACCGCAUACGACCUACGGGUGAAAGCAGGGGAACUUCGGACCUUGCGCGAUUGAAUGAGCCGAUGUCGGAUUAGCUAGUUGGCGGGGUAAUGGCCCACCAAGGCGACGAUCCGUAGCUGGUCUGAGAGGAUGAUCAGCCACACUGGAACUGAGACACGGUCCAGGCUCCUACGGGAGGCAGCAGUGGGGAAUAUUGGACAAUGGGCGCAAGCCUGAUCCAGCCAUACCGCGUGGGUGAAGAAGGCCUUCGGGUUGUAAAGCCCUUUUGUUGGGAAAGAAAAGCAGCAGGUUAAUACCCCGCUGUUCUGACGGUACCCAAAGAAUAAGCACCGGCUAACUUCGUG